GGGAGAGGAGCCAGGGGUGGGUCCAAGUCUGGCUGACUCUGAAGUCCAAGCUUUCCUCCCUUCUCCAGGCUGUUAGCCACUGUGAAAAAACAUGCACAUCCCGGGUUGGGAAGACGGUUGAGAGAAGAAGAGAGUUGGGAGAACGAUUGUUAUUACUUGAGGAGAAGGACCCCAUCUAAUUCAUCUUUGUAAGCAAGCACUGGGCCUGAUGCAGUCAAUGUCUAUGGAAUGAAUGGAUGAGGCCGUCAUUGGAAUCAGUGGUCUCCAGACUUUUUGCUCCUGUGCUCCCUUAAAGAAUUUUUUUAAACUCUGUACCCUCUCUGUAUUUGUGAGGAUUCCAACAGGAAACAAAUGGACUCCCCAUUGGCCAAACCCAAGCCAUGGCCAGAAGACACAGAGCCAUUGAUAUACCCCAUCCACGUCAGCCAACUCAGGGAGAGGCAGAGAGGAGGAGGGUGGAGAAUGGAUCUGUGGGUCCCGUGCAGGAUAUCUGGCACAUUUUUAAAUUGACAACUAAAAUGUUCAUCUUAAACAUAAAUCACUGCAAAGGAUAUGUUUCCUAGCAUAUUGUAAACAUCAAUAUUUUAAAUAAAACUGUUCCAUCAUCAACUGAAUGUAAGUACCAUCAUGAUUUGAUACUCACUAUCAUUCAUUUCAAGAAAAUACUGGAACAAGCACUACUUUUAACAGGCAGAGAUGCUACGUCAUUAUUUCUUCUUGAAUGCAUAGCUACAUUUUGUUUCCUCUCACACAAUGUUAUCUGUGAUAUAUUUUGUGCUUGGAAGUCUGUUAUUGAUGACUUAAAUCAUACUUCA
rnacentral:lncRNA from 1 species